GAAGCAGCCACCCUUUAAAGAAAGCGUAAUAGCUCACUAGUCGAGUCGGCCUGCGCGGAAGAUGUAACGGGGCUAAAACUAUGUGCCGAAGCUGCGGAUGUAUACUUUGUAUACGUGGUAGGGGAGCGUUCUGUAAGCCGAUGAAGGUGUGUUGAGAAGCNNNNNNNNNNNNNNNNNNNNNNNAUGCUGGAGGUAUCAGAAGUGCGAAUGCUGACGUGAGUAACGACAAAACGGGUGAAAAACCCGUUCGCCGAAAGACCAAGGGUUCCAGUCCAACGUUAAUCGGGGCUGGGUGAGUCGACCCCUAAGGCGAGGCCGAAAGGCGUAGUCGAUGGGAAAAUGGUUAAUAUUCCAUUACUUCUGUGUAAUGCGAUGAGAGGACGGAGAAGGCUAAAUCAGCCUGGCGUUGGUUGUCCAGGUGAAAGGAUGUAGGCAUGUAUCUUAGGCAAAUCCGGGGUACUCUAUGCUGAGAUCUGAUAGCAAGCUGUACUUGUACAGCGAAGUGGUUGAUGCCAUGCUUCCAGGAAAAGUCUCUAAGCUUCAGUUACACAGGAAUCGUACCCGAAACCGACACAGGUGGUCAGGUCGAGUAGACCAAGGCGCUUGAGAGAACUCUGCUGAAGGAACUAGGCAAAAUGGUACCGUAACUUCGGGAGAAGGUACGCUGUUGUUGGUGAUGGAACUCGCUUCCUGAGCUGACGACAGCCGCAGAAACCAGGCCGCUGCAACUGUUUAUUAAAAACAUAGCACUCUGCAAACACGAAAGUGGACGUAUAGGGUGUGAUGCCUGCCCGGUGCUGGAAGGUUAAUUGAUGGGGUUAGCGUAAGCGAAGCUCUUGAUCGAAGCCCCAGUAAACGGCGGCCGUAACUAUAACGGUCCUAAGGUAGCGAAAUUCCUUGUCGGGUAAGUUCCGACCUGCACGAAUGGCAUAAUGAUGGCGGCGCUGUCUCCAGCAGAGGCUCAGUGAAAUCGAAAUCGCUGUGAAGAUGCAGUGUACCCGCGGCUAGACGGAAAGACCCCGUGAACCUUUACUGCAGCUUGACACUGAACUUUGACCUUACUUGUGUAGGAUAGGUGGGAGGCUUUGAAGCUGGAACGCUAGUUCCAGUGGAGCCGUCCUUGAAAUACCACCCUGGUAAUGUUGAGGUUCUAACUCUGUCCCGUGAUCCGGGACGAGGACCGUGUCUGGUGGGUAGUUUGACUGGGGCGGUCUCCUCCUAAAGAGUAACGGAGGAGUACGAAGGUGCGCUCAGCGUGGUCGGAAAUCACGCGUAGAGUAUAAAGGCAAAAGCGCGCUUAACUGCGAGACCCACAAGUCGAGCAGGUACGAAAGUAGGUCUUAGUGAUCCGGUGGUUCUGUAUGGAAGGGCCAUCGCUCAACGGAUAAAAGGUACUCUGGGGAUAACAGGCUGAUACCGCCCAAGAGUUCAUAUCGACGGCGGUGUUUGGCACCUCGAUGUCGGCUCAUCUCAUCCUGGGGCUGAAGCAGGUCCCAAGGGUAUGGCUGUUCGCCAUUUAAAGAGGUACGCGAGCUGGGUUUAGAACGUCGUGAGACAGUUCGGUCCCUAUCUACCGUGGGCGCUGGAAAUUUGAGAGGAUCUGCUCCUAGUACGAGAGGACCAGAGUGGACGAACCUCUGGUGUACCGGUUGUGACGCCAGUCGCAUCGCCGGGUAGCUAUGUUCGGAAGGGAUAACCGCUGAAAGCAUCUAAGCGGGAAGCCUACCUCAAGAUAAGAUUUCCCUAGGACUUUAUGUCCUCUAAAGAGCCGUUCGAGACUAGGACGUUGAUAGGUUGGAUGUGGAAGCAUAGUGAUAUGUGAAGCUGACCAAUACUAAUUGCUCGUGAGGCUUGACUAUACAACACCCAAGCAGUUG
rnacentral:rRNA from 1 species